UGACCGCUGGCGGCAGGCCUAACACAUGCCAGUCGAGCGGAUGAAGGGAGCUUGCUCCUGGAUUCAGCGGCGGACGGGUGAGUAAUGCCUAGGAAUCUGCCUGGUAGUGGGGGAUAACGUCCGGAAACGGGCGCUAAUACCGCAUACGUCCUGAGGGAGAAAGUGGGGGAUCUUCGGACCUCACGCUAUCAGAUGAGCCUAGGUCGGAUUAGCUAGUUGGUGGGGUAAAGGCCUACCAAGGCGACGAUCCGUAACUGGUCUGAGAGGAUGAUCAGUCACACUGGAACUGAGACACGGUCCAGACUCCUACGGGAGGCAGCAGUGGGGAAUAUUGGACAAUGGGCGAAAGCCUGAUCCAGCCAUGCCGCGUGUGUGAAGAAGGUCUUCGGAUUGUAAAGCACUUUAAGUUGGGAGGAAGGGCAGUAAGUUAAUACCUUGCUGUUUUGACGUUACCAACAGAAUAAGCACCGGCUAACUUCGUG
rnacentral:rRNA from 1 species